GCCCGCGUCGGAUUAGCUAGUUGGCAGGGUAAAAGCCUACCAAGGCAUAGAUCGGUAGCCGGCCUGAGAGGGCACACGGCCACACUGGCACUGAAACACGGGCCAGACUCCUACGGGAGGCAGCAGUGGGGAAUCUUGCACAAUGGGGGCAACCCUGAUGCAGCGACGCCGCGUGAGCGAUGAAGCCCUUCGGGGUGUAAAGCUCUUUCGUCAGGGAAGAUAAUGACGGUACCUGGAGAAGCAGCUGCGGCUAACUACGUGCCAGCAGCCGCGGUAAUACGUAGGCAGCGAGCGUUGUUCGGAGUUACUGGGCGUAAAGGGUGUGUAGGCGGUUGUUUAAGUUUGGUGUGAAAUCUCCCGGCUCAACUGGGAGGGUGCGCCGAAUACUGAAUGACUAGAGUGCGGGAGAGGAAAGUGGAAUUCCUGGUGUAGCGGUGAAAUGCGUAGAUAUCAGGAGGAACACCGGUGGUGUAGACGGCUUUCUGGACCGUAACUGACGCUGAAACACGAAAGCGUGGGUAGCAAACAGGAUUAGAUACCCUGGUAGUCCACGCCCUAAACGAUGCAUAUUUGGUGCGGGCAGUUCAUUCUGUCCGUGCCGGAGCUAACGCGUUAAAUAUGCCGCCUGGGGAGUACAGUCGCAAGGCUGAA
rnacentral:rRNA from 1 species